ensembl:miRNA
UGCCAGUCAGGCUCCUGUCCGGUGUCCAGCUCUCAGCUGGAUCCAGGCUCUGGCCAGGGGCUUGACUUCAA